rnacentral:tRNA from 1 species
GGAGAUGUAGCUCAGUGAGCAGAGUGCUUGUCUGGUAGGCACAAAACACAAGAUCUAUGCACGGCCAUCUCCA